AAUCAACGCUGGCGGCGUGCCUCAGACAUGCAAGUCGAACGAUUAAAGCUCUCUUCGGAGAGUGCAUAAAGUGGCGCACGGGUGAGUAACACGUAAGUAAUCUACCUUCGAGUGGGGAAUAACAGUCGGAAACGGCUGCUAAUACCGCAUAAUGCAGCGGCAUCGCAAGAUGACAGUUGUUAAAGAUUUAUCGCUUGAAGAGGAGCUUGCGGCAGAUUAGCUAGUUGGUAAGGUAAUGGCUUACCAAGGCUACGAUCUGUAACCGGUCUA
rnacentral:rRNA from 1 species